rnacentral:rRNA from 1 species
UACGGGGGGAGCAAGCGUUGUUCGGAUUUACUGGGCGUAAAGGGCGCGUAGGCGGUCACGACAAGUCGGUUGUGAAAUCUCUGGGCUUAACCCAGAAAGGUCAACCGAUACUGCGGGGCUAGAGUGCAGAAGGGGCAACUGGAAUUCUCGGUGUAGCGGUGAAAUGCGUAGAUAUCGAGAGGAACACCUGCGGCGAAGGCGGGUUGCUGGGCUGACACUGACACUGAGAGACGAAAGCUAGGGGAGCGAAUGGG